UACGUAGGGUGCAAGCGUUGUCCGGAAUUAUUGGGCGUAAAGAGCUCGUAGGCGGUCUGUCGCGUCUGCUGUGAAAACCUAGGGCUUAACUCUGGGCGUGCAGUGGGUACGGGCAGGCUAGAGUGCGGUAGGGGAGACUGGAAUUCCUGGUGUAGCGGUGAAAUGCGCAGAUAUCAGGAGGAACACCGGUGGCGAAGGCGGUUCUCUGGGCAUUACCUGACGCUGAGGAGCGAAAGUGUGGGAGGCGAACAGGAUUAGAACGUACCGAGUAGUCCAA
rnacentral:rRNA from 1 species